rnacentral:rRNA from 1 species
AUGCCUCCCCUCUACAUAUUAUCGCUCGGGCUUCUCCUCCUCUUGCAUAUUCCUCAUUGGCGCCCCUCGUCCGCAGCUGCAAGCGAUACCCUCACGGUGGGCCAAUCUCUCGCGGUCGGCAGCAAGCUUGUCUCAAGAAACGGCAAGUUUGCGCUCGGCUUCUUUCAGCCAGCAGCAAGCAUCAUCAGUAAGUCCCAGAACACCACCAGCUCCAGCUGGUACCUUGGCAUAUGGUUCAACAAGAUCCCAGUUUUUACUACUGUGUGGGUUGCUAACAGGGACCAGCCCAUCACUGGCCCCAACCUCAACCUAACACAGCUCAAGAUAUCGAUCGAUGGCAAUCUUGUCAUCGCGAACAACGAUUCCGUAGUUUGGUCCACUCACAUUGUCAAUAAUAGGACACAAACCAGCAGCAUAAACGCCACUACUGGUGCUGCCGUUCUCUUGAAUAGUGGAAACCUUGCUCUUACAGUCACAGAGAGCCCAUCAUCAUCUGACCUACCGUUGUGGCAGAGCUUUGAUUACCCAACAGAUAUUUUUCUUCCUGGUUCCAUGUUUGGCCGGAACAAGGUCACCAGCUUGACUCAUCAGAGCAUCUCAAAGAAGAGCCUCAUUGAUCCGGGUCUUGGCUCAUACAGCAUUGAACUAGAAGAAACCAAGGGGAUUGUCCUCAAGCGCCGCAACCCCUUGGUAGUGUAUUGGCAUUGGGCAUCCUCCAAAACAUCAUCGUUGAGUCUUAUACCAAUACUCAAUUCCAUUCUGGAUUUGGAUCCACGGACCAAAGGUUUGAUUAACACAACAUAUGUUGAUAACAACCAAGAGGAGUACUACACGUACACUUCACCGGAUGAAUCAUCCCCCACAUUUGUCUCACUAGACAUCUCUGGUCUGAUAAAGCUGAAUGUUUGGUCACAAGCCAACCAGUCUUGGCAAAUUAUAUAUACCCAGCCUGCCGAUCCCUGCACUCCGGCUGCUACCUGUGGACCUUUCACAGUCUGCAACGGCAUUGCACAGCCAUUCUGUGACUGUAUGAUGAACUUCUCUCAGAAGUCACCUCUGGAUUGGGAGUUUAAUGAUCGAACAGGAGGAUGCAUCAGAAAUACACCGUUACACUGCAACACUAGUAGUAACAACAAAAACAUCACAAGUUCAACAGACAUGUUCCACUCCAUUGCUCAAGUUACAUUACCCUACAACCCGCAAAGCAUAGACAUUGCUAACACACAGAGCGAUUGCGAAGAAGCUUGUCUCAGUUCUUGCUCCUGCACUGCUUAUUCCUAUAACAGUAGCAGAUGCUCUGUCUGGCAUGGGGAAUUGCUUAGUGUAAAUCUGAAUGAUGGCAUUGAUAAUACUUCUGAAGAUGUUCUUUAUAUUCGCCUUGCCGCCAAAGAUUUGCUGCCAAGUUUGAGAAAAAACAAAAGAAAACCAAACCGUUGGAGUGGUCACUGCUGCAAGCAUUUUUGGUUUUGGGUUACUAAUGCUCCUGGUGUUGUUACUUAUUUGGAGGAACAAAUUCAAGUGGUGUGGUUCCCCUUUAUACGGCAAUCAAGGUAG